GACGAACGCUGGCGGCGUACUUAACACAUGCAAGUCGAACGGAAAGGCCCUGCUUUUGUGGGGUGCUCGAGUGGCGAACGGGUGAGUAACACGUGAGUAACCUGCCCUUGACUUUGGGAUAACUUCAGGAAACUGGGGCUAAUACCGGAUAGGAGCUCCUGCUGCAUGGUGGGGGUUGGAAAGUUUCGGCGGUUGGGGAUGGACUCGCGGCUUAUCAGCUUGUUGGUGGGGUAGUGGCUUACCAAGGCUUUGACGGGUAGCCGGCCUGAGAGGUGACCGGCCACAUUGGGACUGAGAUACGGCCCAGACUCCUACGGGAGGCAGCAGUGGGGAAUAUUGCACAAUGGGCGGAAGCCUGAUGCAGCAACGCCGCGUGCGGGAUGACGGCCUUCGGGUUGUAAACCGCUUUCGCCUGUGACGAAGCGUGAGUGACGGUAAUGGGUAAAGAAGCACCGGCUAACUACGUG
rnacentral:rRNA from 1 species